rnacentral:precursor_RNA from 13 species
GGAAGUCAUUAAAGCUUUUCUUGGAAGAGAAGGGGAGUGCUGUUGGAGUGGCUUUGAUUCAGCCACCUCUGAAGCAACUUUCCAUCUUUUCUUUGAUCUUCACUCUGAUAUAAAGC